GGGGGCGACUGGUUUCGACACGAUACGUUCGACGGGAGAAGCAGGCCGAGGUCCCCUCGCCUCGUUAAACAGGGGGAACGACGCUUACGCGCCAACAAUAACUACGCUCUCGCUGCUUAAUAUGUAGCGACGUCGCCCGGCGGGAGUCCCCGCCACCGGAUCCGACGUCACAUAGGGGACUACCGGGGCCGUUGACGCAGGUAAUACGGCCAGGGAAUGUGAUCUUGCUGGGCAGAAGGCACGCGAGUCAGCGGGUGUCGCCUUCGCCGAGACAACAACCGUAGACUGAGCCUGGAGAUGCUCCCCGGGGAUGGGUCGUGGACCGGAGUUCGAGUCUCCGCGCCUCCACCA
rnacentral:tmRNA from 1 species